AUGAACGCUGGCGGCGUGCCUAAUACAUGCAAGUCGAGCGAACAGACGAGGAGCUUGCUCCUCUGACGUUAGCGGCGGACGGGUGAGUAACACGUGGAUAACCUACCUAUAAGACUGGGAUAACUUCGGGAAACCGGAGCUAAUACCGGAUAAUAUAUUGAACCGCAUGGUUCAAUAGUGAAAGACGGUUUUGCUGUCACUUAUAGGUGGAUCCGCGCCGCAUUAGCUAGUUGGUAAGGUAACGGCUUACCAAGGCAACGAUGCGUAGCCGACCUGAGAGGGUGAUCGGCCACACUGGAACUGAGACACGGUCCAGACUCCUACGGGAGGCAGCAGUAGGGAAUCUUCCGAAAUGGGCGAAAGCCUGACGGAGCAACGCCGCGUGAGUGAUGAAGGUCUUCGGAUCGUAAAACUCUGUUAUUAGGGAAGAACAAAUGUGUAAGUAACUAUGCACGUCUUGACGGUACCUAAUCAGAAAGCCACGGCUAACUACGUG
rnacentral:rRNA from 1 species